CUUCAGCUCCUGUUUUCACUUCACAUGAAUGAUUCACCUGUCAGAAAGAGAAAGACAGAGAUUUCUGUCACGACCUUUCCGCUCAAAUCGUUUCAUGCCGGUCAGACUCAUCAAACAUGGCCAAGAUGACGGACUCUACAGAACCCUUGAAGAUCAGACACCAAGACAGGCUUGUCAGUCAGCAGGAAACGCACCUCAUCUAACCCUAGAUACACCUUCCCACAGGAGGGAGGCAGUGAGAGGGACCCCAGGGUGCAGCUGGAGAUUUAUCUCUCCGUUCAUAAAUCCACCGACUGCUUGAUCUCUGACCUCUGGUAUCUGCAGAUGCUGCACCUGUAAGGCAGCAGCACUCGGUUCCGACUGACUGCAUUUGUUAUCUAACAACUUUUGCCUCGCAGGUUAGUGCUGCACUCACCUCACAGCUGUCAGAAACAACCUGACAUCUUUAGGAGAGCUGGGUGGAAGGGAGAAAUGGGGUGAAUCUCAAGGUCAUGUUCGCUUUUCACCCCAAUAAUCUAGAAAAAAAAGUUUAGUUAAGUUCAACGGUUUACUUACAAAAUGUUUAUAAUAUGUACUUCAGCUUAAUUGAAAAUGCUUAUUGUAGUUAUUAUAGUUUCUCAUAUAAAAUAUUAUGUGUUAGCAUUUGUUUAAAACUCAUUCUCAUUACCUUAAUGGGGAAAUAUUUAAAAUGUAUAGACUAAUUUAUGCUGAAUUAAAUUACAAAAUCAUUGUAUUACUGUAUUAUCGUCUUAUUUUAAAAUGUAUAUGUGUGAAUGUGUGUGUGUAUAUAUAUAUAUAUAUUUAUGAAAUAUAGUGUUUUAUAAAUUAUUUACUUUCCUUGUUGAAAUUAUGAGAUGUAUUGUACAUUUUAAUAUAUUUAUGGUAAAUUAUAUAUGCAAACUGUGUGUGUGUGUGUGUGUGUGUGUGUGUGUGUGUGUGUAUAUAUAUAUAAUGUACUAAUUUUCAUUAUCUUAAUGCACAAUAAAAAAUUACAAGCAUUUUAUAUUUGUAGCA
ensembl:lncRNA